rnacentral:rRNA from 1 species
UAGGGAAUCUUCGGCAAUGGGGGCAACCCUGACCGAGCAACGCCGCGUGAGUGAAGAAGGUUUUCGGAUCGUAAAGCUCUGUUGUAAGAGAAGAACGUGCGUGAGAGUGGAAAGUUCACACAGUGACGGUAACUUACCAGAAAGGGACGGCUAACUACGUGUCAG